CUCCCAAAGCGUAACGGAGGAGCACGAAGGUUAGCUAAUCCUGGUCGGACAUCAGGAGGUUAGUGCAAUGGCAUAAGCUAGCUUGACUGCGAGCGUGACGGCGCGAGCAGGUGCGAAAGCAGGUCAUAGUGAUCCGGUGGUUCUGAAUGGAAGGGCCAUCGCUCAACGGAUAAAAGGUACUCCGGGGAUAACAGGCUGAUACCGCCCAAGAGUUCAUAUCGACGGCGGUGUUUGGCACCUCGAUGUCGGCUCAUCACAUCCUGGGGCUGAAGUAGGUCCCAAGGGUAUGGCUGUUCGCCAUUUAAAGUGGUACGCGAGCUGGGUUUAGAACGUCGUGAGACAGUUCGGUCCCUAUCUGCCGUGGGCGCUGGAGAAUUGAGGGGGGCUGCUCCUAGUACGAGAGGACCGGAGUGGACGCAUCACUGGUGUU
rnacentral:rRNA from 1 species